UGGUUCCUUCUGGGGAGGAGCACAAAUACACAUGCCAUGUGUACCAUAAAGGAUUGAAUACAUCCCUCACGCUGAAAUGGGAGCCUCCUCAGUCCAUGGUCCCCAUCAUGGCAGUCAUUGCUGUUCUGGUUCUCCUUGGAGCUGUGGUCAUUGUAGCUGUGGUGAUGAAGAGGAGGAGAAACACAGGUGGAAGAGGAGGAGACUAUGCUCCAGCUCAAGCGUGAAGACCGCUGCCUGGAUGCAGUGACAGACGAUGUGUUCAGGUCUCUCCUGUGACAUCCAGAGCCCUCAGCAAUAGUGUCUGAUGUUCCCUGUGAUCCUAUGAGCUCAAUGUGAAGAACUCGGGAGCCCAACCCACCCCUGCACACCUGACCCUAUACCUGCACUGCCCUGUUCCCUUCCACAGCCAACCUUCCUAUUCCCAGCACAGGCAGGGACAUCUCCAUCCUGUCUCCUCCAUGCUGCCCUGAGCUGCAGCUCCUACUUCACCACUGAAAAUAUGAAUCUGAAUGUGAACUUGAUUGUUUAUGUCCUUGAUCUCAAAGGUUGAUUGGCGGUCAAAUAAAGACUUGAGAUAUGUA